UACGGAGGGUGCAAGCGUUAUCCGGAAUCAUUGGGCGUAAAGCGUACCGAUAGGUGGUUUACUAAGUUUUGGGUAAAAGCCAGAAGCUCAACUUCUGCGUUUGCUCAAGAUACUGGUAGACUAGAGGAGUAAAGAGGUUGCUGGAACCAACGGUGUAGUAGUGAAAUGCGUUGAUAUCGUUGGAACACCGAAGCGAAGCAGGCAACUGGUACUACCUGACACUGCUAGGACGAAGCGUGGGAGC
rnacentral:rRNA from 1 species